rnacentral:rRNA from 1 species
UACAGAGGUCUCAAGCGUUGUUCGGAUUCAUUGGGCGUAAAGGGUGCGUAGGCGGCGCGGUAAGUCGGGUGUGAAAUCUUGGAGCUUAACUCCGAAACUGCAUUCGAUACUGCCGUGCUUGAGGACUGGAGAGGAGACUGGAAUUUACGGUGUAGCGGUGAAAUGCGUAGAUAUUGGGAGGAACACCAGAUGCGAAGGCGGGUCACUGGGCUGAUACUGACGCUGAAGUGCGAAAGCCAGGGGAGCGAACGGG